rnacentral:rRNA from 1 species
GAUGAACGCUGGCGGCGUGCCUAAUACAUGCAAGUCGAACGAAGAGAGAAGCUUGCUUCUCUUUUAGUGGCGAACGGGUGAGUAAUACAUAAGCAACCUACCUAUUUGACCGGGAUAACAGUUGGAAACGACUGCUAAUACCGGAUAGGUGCGCGGGGGACAUCCCCUGCACAUUAAAGCUGGGACACAGCACGAAUGGAUGGGCUUAUGGCGCAUUAGUUAGUUGGCGGGGUAACGGCACACCAAGCAGAUGAUGCGUAGCCGACCUGAGAGGGUGACCGGCCACACUGGGACUGAGACACGGCCCAGACUCCUACGGGAGGCAGCAGUAGGGAAUUUUCGGCAAUGGGCGCAAGCCUGACCGAGCAACGCCGCGUGAGUGAAGAAGGCCUUCGGGUUGUAAAGCUCUGUUGUAAGGGAAGAAUGGCCAAGAGAGGGAAUGCUCUUGGAGUGACGGUACCUUACCAGAAAGCCACGGCUAACUACGUGCCAGCAGCCGCCGUAAAAC